CAUGUGUUUGGCAUUAAUUACAAUUGGCAACAUUCUACUUUUUUUUUGGUCAAGUUGACCAAUAAAGUUAACAUUUUCUUUCCAAUAAAUUGAACAUUUGUAAUCGUCAGCGAAAUUUUGCCAACAAUCUGUCUAUUCUGUUUAUGAAAGAGAAAUGGCAUCAAGAGCCCUAUCAAUUAUGCUCAUCUCCCUUGUCCUCUCUUGCGUCUCCAUAUGGCUUGAAGCAAAUGUUCCAACCAUAGAGGGUUAUAAGGACCACAUACGAACAUGUGGAUCGACCGAUGAAUGCGAAGGCAUAUGGUGUAAACAAGGACGAUUAGGAGAGUGCUUAACAUGGACUUGUGAUUUAGAUGAAGAUUGUAGGAAGCUUGUUCGUUGCGACAGAACUCCGGGACCUUAUUGUAUGGAAGGAAUGUGUACUUGUUAAGGGCUUUAAUGCUUGAUCUUCCGUUCCAACUUUUUUCUUUUUCCUUCAAUUCUUCUUCUUUGGUAAUAAUAACAAUAUAAAAUGUUUUGCAUAAAACACAAGAAUUAAAAAACUUAACUUUU